AUUGGUUUUCCUGGAUCUUCAGCUUGCAGAUGGAAGACUGUAGGACUUCUCAACCUCCAAAAUCACAAAGACCCAGUAGCACAAAGAUGAGGAGUGCAGCCAAGCCCUGGAGUCCAGUCAUCAAAGCUGGGAGCCAUGGGACGGAGCGUGCACGGCCCCUCCCCGCAGCCUCUUCCGGCAUGAAGAGUUCUAAAUCUUCAACUUCGUUGGCUUUUGAGUCCCGACUCAGCAAGCUCAAGAGGGCCAGUAGUGAGGACAUGCUCAGCAAACCGGGAAGUACUGCCGCUUCUGGAGUCGUUCGCCUGAAAAAGACUUCAACAGCUGGAGCCAUCUCUGAGCUCGCAGAGGGCCGCCUGAGGAGCAACCCAGGGGCUGUUACAACAACCAAAAGGACAGGCAUUCCAGCUCCUCGAGAACUUUCGGUAACUGUCUCAAGAGAGAGAACUGUGCCACGUGGUCCCUCCAACCCAAAGAAGUCAGUGUCCAGCCCAACUUCUUCCAGCACACCUACCCCUACCAAGCACCUGAGGACCACUUCUACAAGACCCAAGCAAGAGAAUGAAAGUGGAGAAAAAGCCGUGCUCGAGUCCCAGGUUCGGGAACUUUUGGCAGAAGCUAAAGCAAAAGAUAGUGAAAUUAACAGGCUUCGAAGUGAACUAAAGAAAUUCAAAGAGAAAAGGACUCUGAACACUGAAGGAACUAAUGCUUUGGACCCAAAUAUAGAUGGAACAUCAGUUUCACCAGGUGACUCUGAACCUUUGAUAAGAGCUCUUGAGGAGAAGAACAAAAAUUUUCAGAAAGAACUUGCUGACCUAGAGGAAGAAAACCGGGCCUUGAAGGAAAAACUGACUUAUUUUGAGCAUUCUCCAAAUUCAGAAGCGGGGGCAAGUCAGACUGGUGAUAGCAGCUGCCCAACAUCCGUAACUCAAGAUUCAAGCUUCGGAAGCCCAACUGGAGAUCAGUUGUCAGGUGAAAUCGAUGAAUAUAAAAAAAACAUACACGAAAAUGCAUUACGGACGUCAGGAUCUUCCAGUAGCGAUGUCACCAAAGCUUCUUUGUCACCAGAUGCCUCCGAUUUUGAGCACAUCACAGCAGACACCCCCUCUAGGCCCCUGUCUUCCACCAGCAACCCAUUUAAGAGCUCCAAGUGUUCCACCACUGGGAGUUCCCCUAACAACGUGAGUGAGUUGUCCCUGGCUUCCCUUACCGAAAAGAUACAAAAGAUGGAAGAAAAUCACCAUAGCACAGCAGAAGAGCUGCAGGCAACUUUACAAGAAUUGUCAGAUCAGCAGCAAAUGGUGCAGGAAUUGACAGCUGAAAAUGAGAAACUGGUGGACGAGAAGACUAUUUUGGAAACUUCCUUUCAUCAGCAUCGAGAGAGGGCAGAGCAGCUAAGUCAAGAAAACGAGAAGCUGAUGAAUCUCUUACAAGAGCGAGUGAAGAAUGAAGAGCCCAGUGCUCAGGAAGGAAAAAUCCUUGAACUGGAACAGAAGUGUGCAGAAAUUCUUGAACAGGGCCGCUUUGAAAGAGAGAAGCUGCUCAACAUUCAGCAGCAGCUGACCUGUAGCUUACGGAAGGCUGAGGAAGAAAACCAAGGAGCUUUAGAAAUGAUUAAACACCUAAAGGAAGAAAAUGAAAAACUGAAUGGGCUUCUGGAACUGGAACGGCAUAGUAAUAGUGUGAUGGCCAAAACUCUGGAAGAAUAUAAAGUUACCUUCGAAGGGCUGAAGAUGGAAAAUGGGUCUUUGAAGGCUCAUUUGGAGAAUGAGAAGCAAAAAGCUGCAGAGACCAGUCUUGUGGGGCAAACAGCAGAGGGCUGUGAAGUUCAAGAAAUGUUGAAAGUAGCUCGAGCUGAGAAAGAUCAGCUGGAACGGUCUUGCACCGAGCUCAAACAAGAGUUACUAAAGGCACAUGGCGAAGUUAAACGUGUUUCAAGCCUACUAGCCAAGGUGGAAAAGGAUUAUUCUUACUUGAAGGAGCUAUGUGAUCAUCAAGCGGAACAGCUGAGCCGAACCAGCCUAAAACUGCAAGAGAAAGCAUCUGAGAGUGAUGCAGAGAUUAAAGACAUGAAGGAGACCAUAUUUGAAUUGGAAGAUCAGGUGGAACAGCAUCGAGCUGUCAAGUUACAUAAUAAUCAGCUCAUUAGCGAGCUAGAAAGCAAUGUGAUGAAGCUGGAAGAACAGAAGUCAGACCUGGAAAGGCAGCUCAGGACUCUGACUAAGCAGAUAAAGGAGGAGACCGAGGAGUGGAGGCGGUUCCAGGCGGACCUGCAGACUGCAGUGGUGGUGGCCAAUGACAUCAAGUGUGAGGCCCAGCAGGAGCUGCGCACUGUGAAGAGGAAGUUGCUGGAGGAAGAGGAGAAGAAUGCCAGGCUGCAGAAGGAGCUGGGGGACAUUCAGGGCCACAGCAGACCUGUGAAUGAAGAGUCAGAGCCCUGCGAGGUCGAUGCUCCUGGCCGCUGGCGUGGUGUCUGCGUGAACAGAACAUCUCCAACACCUUCGGAGUCUGCUACCACUGUGAAGUCCCUUAUCAAGUCGUUUGACUUGGGACGCCCAGGUGGAGCUGGGCAGAAUAUUUCUGUCCAUAAGACCCCUAGAAGUCCCCUAAGUGGAAUACCGGUGAGGACUGCGCCAGCCGCUGCCGUCUCUCCAAUGCAGAGGCAUUCAGCGUACAGCAGUGUCCGGCCAGCCAGCAAAGGAGGGACGCAACGCCUGGAUCUUCCAGACCUUCCCCUCUCAGAUCUUCUAAAGGGAAGGGCUGAGGACCUGAAACCGGACCCUUAUCUCCGUAAGAGUCCCUCGCUCGAGUCACUGAGCAGACCCCCUUCUCUGGGCUUCGCGAGCACCAGACUGCUGAGCGCUUCCACUGGGGGCUUGAAAACACAAAGCAAACUCAGUGUGGAAAGAAGAGAUCCUCUGGCUGCCUUGGCCCGGGAAUAUGGAGGCUCCAAGCGCAAUGCUCUGCUGAAGUGGUGCCAGAAGAAGACAGAAGGUUAUGCGAACAUUGAUAUCACCAAUUUCAGCAGCAGCUGGAGUGAUGGCUUGGCGUUCUGUGCUCUGCUCCAUACCUACCUGCCUGCCCACAUCCCAUACCAGGAGCUGAACAGUCAGGAGAAAAAAAGGAAUCUCUUGUUGGCAUUUGAAGCAGCUGAAAGUGUAGGCAUCAAACCCAGCCUGUGAAAGCUUGGAAGUGAAUGAGAUCAUCUUGUUGAACUAAUUAUCAGAGCCAGCAAUUUCCUUUGUCCAGAUGUCUGUGAGGAGCUACUGACAAACGAGCUCAGUGAGAUGCUGUACACAGACCGGCCCGACUGGCAGAGCGUGAUGCAGUACGUGGCCCAAAUCUACAAGUACUUUGAGACGUAAACCCAGAGGGCCCAAGAGCAGCCGCUACCACCUGCAGUUUGUCCUGGAAGCACCUGGUCACUUUCCAUAGGCCCUGCUCCAUCUGCCACCCGACUGUCUGGAUUUCAGAGGAAGGCUCAACCCAGGGGGACCAACACAAAGAAGAAGCAGAGCUGGCUUGCGCCGUGCACCCGCCAUGCAUCCAGAGGCACUGGGAGUGUACGUCGAGGAAGCUUCGCUCUGCCACGGCCUUCCUCCUUCCAGACCCGAGUCCACUCCCGGCUCAUUCCCACGACCCCAGGACGACAUCUCCGGUCACACUGCGUGUCUACACACGUGAGCUGCACUGAGUUCAUGACAAAUGGCACUUCCAAAUCUGUCAUCUUUUUACUAAAAAUCCUGACUUUUUCCUUUAUAAAAACCUUGCCCUUGCCACUCCCCACCCCCUCAAAAAAAAAAAAACAACAACAAAAUGCAAAAAGUCAAAGAAACGUUAGCUCUCAAGCAGCCUGGAAACAAGCAGCCCUGUGUCUGUGGGAAGUAUACUCCUGUUCUGGGUAACACUUUUAACACCUAGAACUUGAUUACAUUUUUUAGAUCUCACCGUCACUUACUUAUUUGAUUCCUUGGAUGGAAGAAAAAACAUUUGAGAAUGCAUAGGAGCCCCUGGGUGGCGUGCCGCAGUGUCCCGUGGGGAGUCCUACAGCUGGAAGCGGUGCUGCCCCAUGGCUGUGUGCUUGGCCGCGGUCACACGCAGACCUCCCUCUCGGCCGACCGCCUCUGUGCUGAUGCGCCUGCUCUGUUCGUCCCCCAUUUAUCCACACUCUCGUUCACACUCACACACAUUUGUCCCAUGUGCAGAACUUAACAGAAAGUCACUCGUGUGAAAUUGCGUGUGCCUGCCGGGGCCUUCGUGCAUUUGCACAAACAGGCUGAAGAUGUGUAUUUCUUGGGCUAUUGGACAGACAGCAAAUUUAAACAUUUCAACCCAAGACUUAGUUUUCGGUACUUGGGCAGGCCUUUUACGUCUGUGUGGGAAAGGAAGCCCUUAGGGGGAGGCAGCGAUGGCUCCGUUUAUAAUUGAACAAAAGAAAAUGCAGUUUCGGCUGACCUGCCAGCACCCUGAGUGGCGGCAGAGCUCUCGGAGCGGCCAUGGUCACCUCGGAAGCGCACGGCACAGGAACCACCUGGUGGCUCUUUGAUAUUCUUCUUGGGAAAACAGGUGCCCGUUGCGUAGCAGAUGAGGGUGUGGUUCACACUGGCGGUUGAGGUGGCUUCGUCAGUGCCUGUCGCUCUGUGGGACUGCUCACCACGAGUCACCACAGUCACGAUACUGCCGUCAUUACUUAAAGCCAGUCUGCAUGGCUGCUCGAGCCUUGUUCACAGUGGACGCCUGGAGGCUGCGGUCCCUGUGCUGGGACGGCAGCUCGGCCCCCCUCAGGCCGCCUCUGCGGGCGUGGCGGAGGGACCUGCCCUCGUGCCCAGGCCGCGCGCUGCCCUACUGUGGUUCUCCUCUGUGCUCUAGAUCCAAACCUUCCGGGGAGCUUGUUGAAAACACACACUCCUGCCUGGCCUGUCAGUUGAAUCAGAACCUCUGGAAGGGGACCAAGGAUGUGUUCUCUGUGUUUGCCAAGUUCCCUGAGAGCCCCUGAGAGGAAAGUGCCCCGUGCAUCUCGGCCCCACGCGGGGCAGUGAGCACAGGUCGCUCCAGAGCAGGGUUUGGUGCUGAAACCGCGGAACUGGCCCCUCUGUUUUCAGACGGAAGUUGGAGGCGCAGUCUGAACACACAUAACUGACUCCUUCCUGUGAACACACCCACAGGGAGGUUCCUCCUUGUGUUGCUUCAUGCAUCCGUCUUGUUGACGUAACUGGUACAUUUUCAUCAUCCCCAUGCUUCGCUGCUCACCAGCACAGUGGGGAAGAGUCAUAUCCCCGUAGUUGGGCCGAGCUGUGGAUUGUUGUUUAAUCUGGGGGUCCUACAGGGCUUCGUGGGGAGAUGCAGUGGAGGUCCUGGGAUCCCCGGAGAGGUGUCUGGUGUUCCAGGUGCCUCUUCUGUGAUUACCGCAAAUGCUUGAGAAUGAGCCCCAGCAGAGCAGGGGUGGUGUUGCUGUUGCCCCUCCCUCCACGCUGGAGCCUGCUCCCUUUAGGUUAAAAAAAGGAAAGAAAUGGAUUGUGAAAGAAAGGCCACGUGCAAUUUACUUUUAUAAGUCACAGAAGUUCCUUGACCACCAUCAUCUUGGCCAGUGGGCGUGAUUACAGCAGAGGAAGUGUGUCCUGCUCACGGAAACACAGGUGGCGUUUGGGGGCAGGUGUGACGCUGCGGGACCUUGGUUUAGGGGCUGAAGGCAGACGGGCUGCGGGGUCAGGCCUUCCAGCACUGCAGGCCGGGGCUGGGCCACAGACUGGAGUUUUUAGACCCAUUUUUAAUUGGAAAGCUCAGAGCACAAGGCAAAUGUGGGAAAUUGAUAAAUUGAGAAGACAGGAUGGUGCCAGCCAUUGUGUCAUCCCCAGUUUCCUGUCCUGAGGCUGCAGUAUCCAUGUUUCUUCCCAUCUUUCUUCAGCCAAUACCUAGUCCUUUAAAAUUAUUUGGUGGUUCUGCAGAUCCUUUUUUUAAAAAAUGUAUUAAUUUUUAUGUAAAAGACAGAUGCAAAAUGCAAGGCCCAGCAGAGUGGAGGAGUCUUUAAAGAGAAGACCGUGGCUCUCUGCACUAUGAGUUGUUUCAUGGACUUGAAUUCUAGCUGACGGCUGACAGUGCCGGGGCCGGGCCCCCUGGCGUGAGCACUGUGAGGAAGUGGGCGAAUUUGCACUUCCUCAGAAGCCAAGUUAGUCUUUGGUUUUUGUUCUUCAUUCAGUUGUUAUGUUAUAGGUUCUGUUGAGACCAUCCAGAGUGUCCCAAAGUGAUGAACCGUGUGGUGACACGCAGGCAGCUAGGACGAGUGUCUGCAGUGUUCUCUUCCUCUCAGAAACACUGGCCGGGCCCUCCCAGUCUCCCCCUCCCGCCUCCCCAGGGAGGGCAGGCCGGGCACCACCCCCUGUGCCAGUCCAGCAGCAGCUCUUCCAUCCAAAGCUUGAGUGCCAUUUUGCGAUGAACUACCCCUGAUAUGCAGGAAAGGACGUAGCCUAGCAACCUUUUUAAAAAGUCUUUUUAAUGUCUCCUUUGCCCAAGUUCACUGGGUCUUUCACUUCUCUGACCCAGGUUGGAGUUUGGCUAAAUCUGUAACAUCUGAGUAGCUCACUGUGUAACUACAUUAGUUGAAAGCAGUUGAUACAUCUGUGGCCUCGUAUCUACAGAGAGCACCCCAGAUUGUCCCAGUGUUGUCAGGACAUGACGUGCCAACAAAGAUGUAUUUAACUAUUAACAUGAACGUGUACUGUGUAUAUGACUCUGUAAUAUUUCUAAUAAAUAUAUUUUGUUUCUGUCUGA